UCCCUGGUGGUCCAGAGGUUAAGACUUUGCCUCCCAGUGCAAAGGGUGCAGGUUCGAUCCCUGGUCAGGGAG
rnacentral:tRNA from 1 species